CACAGAUAAUUACAUAAACAAAAUUAUUCGCCAGAGUACUACUAGCAACAGCUUAAAACUCAAAGGACUUGGCGGUGCUUUAUAUCCUUCUAGAGGAGCCUGUUCUAUAAUCGAUAAACCCCGAUAAACCUCACCAAUUCUUGCUAAUACAGUCUAUAUACCGCCAUCUUCAGCAAACCCUAAAAAGGAAAAAAAGUAAGCGUAAUUAUGAUACAUAAAAACGUUAGGUCAAGGUGUAACCUAUGAAAUGGGAAGAAAUGGGCUACAUUCUCUACACUAAGAGAAUCAAGCACGAAAGUUAUUAUGAAACCAAUAACCAAAGGAGGAUUUAGCAGUAAACUAAGAAUAGAGUGCUUAGUUGAAUUAGGCCAUGAAGCACGCACACACCGCCCGUCACCCUCA
rnacentral:rRNA from 1 species